UUGUGAAGUAAUGAGAUCUCAUUACCUCAUGUGGUCUAUAAUCAUUUCCAUUUAUGUUGUGAACAAAAAUAUGAAUCAUAUGGAACAUCUUUCUUUUUUUAGUGGUUGUUUCUUUAAAUAAAUCCUAUUAAAAACUGUAAGCGAUCCUGAUUGGAAAAACAGCAUGAAUGUGAAAUAAAAGCAGUUCCUCCCUCUCAGCUGCGGUUUAUUUCUCUUUAAAUCAGAGCUGACAAAAAUCCGUCAUAUUCUAUAUGAAGUGGGGAAAUAUAUCUAAUAAGCUAAAGAAAAAUCCAAAUUUACCAUUGAUUUUUCUUUUAUUUAUGGUAACUUGAAGCUUAGAGUGAGAAAUGUAUGUGGGGAAGAUAUUAAAACUGCUACGCUGCUGCAUGCUUCCCAGUGUAAAUGUGAUUUGCAUGCUCAUUUAUGUCUAUAAUUACAAGUUUCUAUCUUUUUCAUGUUUCAGAAAAUGAAAUUGGAGGAGGUGUAGUGACCUCUUAUCAGUCGUCUAACAUAGAGGGCCGUGGGGCAAACAGAGGUCUGAACCAAAGAGUGAUUACACCGGCAAUUACAUCAGAUGGAGGUGGAUGUAGCAGAGGAGAAGCGCCAUUGCACACGCUCAAAAGUUCCCCUGGAACCAGCCAUACAAGAGUUGUUCAGUGUGUAUGGCUGUCCUGUCGCCAAGAAGAGAAAACCCCUGGACACUCAUGCCCUGGAGCCCUCGCCCAAGAGGAAGGUCUUUCUUACAGUCGUAGAGCAGCCGUCAAUGGAGAAAUGCUACAAAACGCACAAAAUGGAGGAGAUGGAUGAAAAAGAGGAGGAAGAGGAGGAGGAGCAGGAGGAGGAGGAGGAAGAUGAAGAGGAACCGGAGGAGGAGUAUACUGACAAUGAGGACCAAUAUGAUCAGGACGAGGUAGAAGUGAUUAAUGGAGAAGAGGAAGAGGUGGAGCAGGAAGAAGAGGAAGUGGUGGAGGAGGAGGAGGAAGAGGAAGAAGAAGUAGAAAGAGAGGGGGAGGAUGAUGAAGAUGACGUGGAGGAAGAUGAGCAAGAGGAUGAGGAGCAAAUUCAAGAAAUAGGUGAGAGUCUGAAUAAAUCCACGAAAGAUGGACUUUUGAUUUAUAAUGCAGGCUUAUUGGUUCAUAUACACUGAUAAAAUAUUAACAUCUAAAUUAACCAAAUGAAUAUCAAAACUAUUAUUUAGUAUCAAUGAAUCAGUCUUAAAUCCAUUCAUUUGUACCAGCAAAACGAAUUUUUUUUGUGAGGUAAAUAUGCUAACAAUUGCAGUAUGAUAUACUGAAAAAAUGGAGAUUCAGAGGCCCAAACCCAGCAAAAAUCUGCAUUUGGAUGUAGAUGUUGAUAUUUA
ensembl:lncRNA